GACGAACGCUGGCGGCGUGCUUAACACAUGCAAGUCGAACGGAAAGGCCCUGCUUGCAGGGUACUCGAGUGGCGAACGGGUGAGUAACACGUGGGUGAUCUGCCCUGCACUUCGGGAUAAGCCUGGGAAACUGGGUCUAAUACCGGAUAGGAGCCAUUUUUAGCGUGAUGGUUGGAAAGUUUUUUCGGUGUAGGAUGAGCUCGCGGCCUAUCAGCUUGUUGGUGGGGUAAUGGCCUACCAAGGCGGCGACGGGUAGCCGGCCUGAGAGGGUGGACGGCCACAUUGGGACUGAGAUACGGCCCAGACUCCUACGGGAGGCAGCGGUGGGGAAUAUUGCACAAUGGGCGCAAGCCUGAUGCAGCGACGCCGCGUGGGGGAUGACGGCCUUCGGGUUGUAAACUCCUUUCGCUAGGGACGAAGCUUUUUGUGACGGUACCUAGAUAAGAAGCACCGGCUAACUACGUG
rnacentral:rRNA from 1 species